GUUUACAUUUAUACCACCCUGAACACACCUGACUUUGUCUGACCUAGAAAGCUAAGCAGGGUUGGGCCUUGUUAAUC
rnacentral:rRNA from 1 species